GGGUGGUCCAAGAGUGGACCAUAAGUGCCAAACAGCCGGCCGGGUGCCAACCUCAUCAAGACAGGAGCAGCUCCAUUCCUGCAGGCGCCACGACGUACCUGGUUCACCAUUUAAGGUGGAACGGAUAAUUCGAAGAGGAGAACAUGUGGAGGAGAAACUGUGUUUAAUUUAGGCGUUGAGUCUCCUCCUGCGGCUCUCUGGCUUUGGGAGAGCAGGCGGUGACGGGCUGGACUUCAGAGACGAGGCCAUCUU